CCUGAGCCUUUCCAUGGUUUUGAUGCCUCGCCCUAUACAUCAGAUGUAGAUGUUCCCUCAUCAGUUGAUACAAGUAUCACCUCCCCAGAGCCCAAAUCAGUUGAUACGAGUAGUAUCACCUCUCCCAUUCCUUCAGACUCCCAAGCACCUGCCCAUCCCACUCCAUAGCCCAGCCACCCACUCUCAUGUACCAUAUGACCAUCCCAGUAAGCAAGCCAACCACUAGAAUUUGACUGGCAUGCACCUGUGACUUACAUAAACCAGACCUCUACAUAGCCUACAUGUCUUCAUUUUGCUGGAG